CACGUAGGGGGCAAGCGUUGUCCGGAAUUAUUGGGCGUAAAGAGCUCGUAGGCGGCUCGGUAAGUCAGGUGUCAAAUCCUCAGGCUCAACUUGGGGCUCCACCUGAUACUGCUGUGGCUAGAGUCCGGUAGGGAAGCGUGGAAUUCCUGGUGUAGCGGUGAAAUGCGCAGAUAUCAGGAGGAACACCAGCGGCGAAGGCGGCGCUCUGGGCCGGAACUGACGCUGAGGAGCGAAAGCGUGGGUAGCAAACAGG
rnacentral:rRNA from 1 species